CCUAAAGAACCUGAAUCUGAACCCAAACUGAAGGUUAAGAACAAAAACAAACUUGUACUUGAUCUCUCUGUGGUGAAUAUCAAUGAGCAAGGAACAAGCAUUGACAGCAAAUUUGGAAUCAUUGAGAAAAAUGCAAAUAAGAGAGAAAACGAAGAUAGUGAUCACUUCAAUUUUUCAUGGGAUUUUACUGAUGAGCCGCCAAAAGAGGAAGAAACCAAACUGAGUGUUGAG